rnacentral:lncRNA from 1 species
GAGAGAGAGAAAGGGUAUGGGUGUUUUUUGUGUGUGUGUGGUCCUAGUUAGUCACAAACCAAACAAAAACUAAGUCCUUUUUAGUUCCCUUAGUUCUAAAAACUUAGGAAAAUAAUGGAUGGAUCCAAAACCUAAGUACACAAUACACACAACACACUUUAACGUCUAAGGGUAUUUUAGUAACUUCCAUGUUUGAGACCAAUAAUAUUACAAAAUUCCGAGACGGGCUGUCACACUAAGACCAUCUUUAACCCUUGGGCUAAAAGCCAAAUUUUUUAGCCUGGAAAAUUUAGCUUUUAGCCCAGAAACAACUUUUCUGCUUCAAUCAUUUUGGCCUAAAACUUUAGCCCGGGAUUAUUAAAGCAUGAACUUAGACCAAUUUUUUUCUUAAAUUAACUUUUUUUUUUAAAAAAAAUUAUGUAGACUAUCAUAAAUUAAUUUUAUGAACAUUUUAAUCUAAAAAUAUUUAAAUAUUGAAA